UAUGAACCAGGAAGAGGCCCUCACCAGGUACUGAAUCUGCUAGUGUCUUGAUCCUGGACUUCCCAGCCUCUAGAACUGGGAGACAUUCAGUUCUGUUGUUUAUGAGCCACUCAGUUUAUGGUAUUUUUGUUAUAGCAAUCCAAAUGGACAAAGACGGAAAUGUUAUAAUUUAAAGGAGACUGAAGAGACGUGAUGACUUAAUGUAACAUGUGACCCUCGAUCGGAUCCAGAAGAUAUGGAGGUGUGCCACCCAGAUACCCCUGCAACGGGCUGCCUCCUGCCGAGAAUGUGGCCAGCAGACGGCCCCUGCUGUUCACUCUCGGGAUCUGCUUCAGCUGGAGAACUGCCUUGCCCAAGGUUACAAAGACUGACAGCUGUGACCCACUUUGGGUUUUCUCUUCACACAAUGCAUAAGAAGAAAUAAAAGGUAAUGCCUGCCCACUCUAACCUGCCUUUGGGGAGAAUCCUGUUAUAUCUGAUGAACCAGAAUCCCUCUGCACCCCUCGCGUACUCUCCGUAAUUUUCCACCUGCUGCCCCACCCUGCUCCUGGCCACCGUCCCUACUUGUCCAUGCUGUAUUCGGAAGUGAGCCCAGUUGCACACUGAGGGCUCUUUCCCCAACUGCAACAGUUCCUGAAUAAAAUCUGUCUUUACUGCUUUAA